rnacentral:tRNA from 1 species
UCUACAUAAACUAUUCCUUG